AAGGGAGAGGUAAGAGAGACCACACGCCGCAGCGAAUCUCAGAACCGCCCGGGGCAGAGCAGGAACAGAAGGCGAGUGUCUCUCUGGAGCGUUCUCACGAGCUCAGCACUUCAGUCCCGGUGCAAGACCGGACUUUGUCGUGGAUCACCGGCCGUGUGGACCUCUGCAGUUUUCAGGCCUGGCACAGCCCUGCGAGAUCAACUUCCCCAUCUGUGGAAUACCUGUGAAGGGCUGCACUUCAGAGUUCCCUGAAGAAAACCAUAUCCGAUGUCUUUGUUCCAAGCACUGGAGCACGUGGACACAGGCCAACAAAGCCAGCAAUACGCAGAGCAGGAGAGAUGACUCAAAGGUUAAAAACACUUGGGCUCUUGCAAAGAAUUCUGGUUUCCUCCCCAACACCCAUAAUGCAACUAUCUGCAAUCCCAGGCCCAGGGGGUUCAACAGGCAUGCCUUUGGUGCACAUGUGUUAACACCGGCAAAAUAUUCAAACAUAUAAAUGAAAAUAAAUAAAUAAAUCUAAAAAAACUUUUUU